AGUAACAGGCAGAGUGCCAUAGUGUCAGUCCCUUUUCCCAAACUCCGAUCAGGAAGGAAACACCCCCACCCACUCCGCUCCCAUCCCCAGAAGUCCCUUAGAAGCUCUUUUCUCCCCGAAGAGGACCCUGGGAAGGUGGCUGCCGCUUCACUCCUAGAGUGAAAUCCUCGCAGCCCUGCCCUCGCGGGCGGAGCAGAGACGCCGCCGCUUGGCCGGUUCACGCCUGUCACACAAAGCCGCCGAGGGUCGGCUGCGCCCCUGGCAAGGCCGUAGGGCUGGGGAUACUGAGUAUGACAGGCGAGGUCCCUGCUCUCAAGAACUUACGUGGGUGAGAAGGGGAGACGAGACAAACAGAUGGAGCAACUCAACCCAAAAAUGUUGGUCUGUAUGGUGACGGAAUGUGGUCUCCCAGUUUUCAGCAUAGCACUCAUUCAGCUAUUCUACUCUUCAGAAAGCAGGAGGGAUGUGCCCUAAAGUGGAUUAUUGAAAUGAUGAAAGCCACUGAGGAAGAGCCAGAGAAUUCUCAUAGCUGUGAUUAGACAUCAACCUGGGGCAUGCUAAACAUUUCAGCCUGGACACCCUGAGAAGAGCCAGUGCUAUUGGUGACAGCUGCUUCUGUGAGGGCUUUUGCUUGGCCAGAGAGGCAGGACCUUCUCCCUGGCAUUUUGAGGAGUGGUGCCGGGUGGGCAGUGACUGCACUAGCAACAGUCUAUACCAAGAGAAGGCUGCAAAUUCCCAGAGAAGAAAGGCAGCGAGGCCAAGAAACGCUGCCGCCGCUUAACAAGUGAAGACGCAUACUGGAGAAUAGGAACUGAACAUGCGAAGGAGUUUGGGCUUUACUGCCUUCUCUCCUAGCAUUGGACAGAUCUUCUGUGCUGUGAUUAUUCUCCAUGAAUCAUCAUCCAUAGAAAGUGACUGAGGCAAUAGAGAGUGAAUAAUGAAUCCCUCAAAUAGUCUUUUGUGUUUCUGCCUGGAGGGUUUUGGAAAUAACUUGCAUCUUAAUCUUUCCGACUUAGAAUCAUAGAAUUUGGGAGCUGAAAAGGACCUUCAUCAGGGCAUGUGGCCUCACAGAAAGACUGGAAGAAAAGAUUUGUGGGUAUGAACCUCUGGUUCAUCACUAAAAAUAGCCCUAGUCUAACAUAUAUUGGAGGCUUUCCUUGUGUCAGGUACUCAUUUAUUCUUCCCAAACCUUGGGAGGUAGGUGCUGCUAUUCCUCCGUUCUGCAGAGGAGGAAGAGAGAUGAGGAGACAGUAGAUCACCAGAGGGCACCGUGAGGGGUGUGCUGGAAACAUCAUGUGGAACAGGCUCUGGUUCCAGAAUCCACAUCCUCUCGGUCAUUCCACUCCCUCAUCAAGUGGCUUUGGACAA